UCUGUUUUAUUUUUUUACAUUGUCAGAAAUGAGCUUCACAGUUUUCCCUUUGUUAUGAAACCAGAGGCCAUAACACGAUACAUUUUCCAUUACAUCACAGUGCUUUUACACGUAAGCCUGAGAUGAUUUCUUCCUAAUUUCUUUCUUGGAAUCAUUCAUCAUUUUCUUUAUAAAAUAUUACCUCUCAUACUGCUGUUUCCCAAGCUUGUCCCCCAUCUGUGGAGGAUUUUGUUCACACUCAAGCUAGCUGUUUUUGAAAAAAUGAUGAGAAUUUUCAGGCUCUCCAAGGCUGUAGAGAAAGAAAAGCUGUCAUGGUGCCAGCACACCAUAUUCUCUGAAACCAUGGUUGUUAGGACUCAGACUAUGAGUUGGUUGCAGAAGAGAUAAAAAGAAAAAGGCCACACUCUUGACAUUGUUCUACAAAGGAAAAAUAAGUGAAUAAAUAAAUGCAUGACCCUGCAAAGGUGUGGUGCAGUUGCAGGUUGGCUCAUCCUGUUAUUCAGAGUUAGUAAAUGUUCAUAUGCUGUCUUUCAUAUUGCUGCAGACUGAGUUCUGCUGGCUCAUCACGAUUGUUAUCUCUACUGGAAAGCAAGCAAACCUCUCAUCUGUAUGAGAUUUGAUGUGACAUUCUGCAUUUUAGCCAAUUCCAGCUGGCUGCUCCAAAAAGGCAGGCAAUGUUUCAUAGGUACCAAAGUUAUUUCUCCUUCUUCAGUCCCCUGAAGUAGUAGCUAUGGGACUGUACGUUAAGCUGUGAGGGCCAUUGCAUGUGAAACUAUCAAACAAAAUGCAAGACGUCAACUCUAUUUAAGACGAACACAAAGUUCUGGUCUUCCACGACACCAGACAUGCUACAGCCAGUUCUGAAAGCCUUCGUGGUACAGCACUUCCAGUGUCAACUAGGGACUUCCAGAGUCUCUGAAUAAGUAUUUGAAUCCGGCCAGGUGGGUUUCAAUAAAUCGCUAGCACUGUGUUAAUAAUAUCAUCCUGACAGCGUGAAAAGUCUUAGUGCAGCAUGAGCAAAAAUGAGCCAAAUGUUACCAAAGGUAAAUGGCUAAAUUCCCAUCAAAUACAGUUAAGCCAAUUUAUACUAUUUCCUGAAGGUAUGUUUUCCAUUGGACCUUAAAAGCAGCUCAUGGUUUAGGCAUACUUCUAUUCAUGCUUUUCAAAAGACCGUAUUUAACAUCCUAAGAGUAUCUUUUCCUCUUUCCAUUACGCAUCUCAGUAAACUACAGCCAAAGCAGAAAAUGCCUACAUCCACUAAUGGGAUGUGUGAAAAUCAAAAUUGUCCAAGCAUAUUCUGCCAAACAACAGUCUUGCAGCCUUCUUGUAACUAUUGUUUUUACCUAUGACACAUUCUACUCAUCUUCCUCUUAUUUUUUGUCUAUUCACUUUUGGAGAGAGCUAUUAUAUUCUGCAGUUUAUUAUUUAAGUCAUUCACAUUCUGACUACAAACCUGGCUCCUGUUUCUUCAUGCAUUUCAAACCACCCUGAUUUGCAAGCUAGCCAUGUUUACCCUUCUCUUUACAUUUCAUUUUCUCUGGCUUCUAUCUCUUCUCUUCCCCUGUUUCUGGGCAAAUACUUCCAAAAGACCAGAUCCAAAAUGCGCACUGGAAUUCCUGAGUUUUAUAUCUUUUCUUUCUUUCUUCCUUCCCCCACCCUCCAAAUAAAUAAAUCUUUAUUGUGGUUACCCUUGGAUUAUUUUUGAUACACUUAAUUAUGAUGGUUUCAGGCCAAACCAAAGGAACUCCAGUAAAUAUAUUUAAAGCAUUUCCUAUGGUCCUAUUAGAGGCUUCUAACCUACUUUUCUUCAAACUGUCUCUGCAUUAGUUACCCUGCAGUUAGAUUCCUAUUCUGAUUUAAACGGACAAUUUACGCAAAG
ensembl:lncRNA